GGACUACCCGGGUAUCUAAUCCUGUUUGCUCCCCACGCUUUCGCGUCUCAGCGUCAGCAAAAGACCAGCGAGUCGCCUUCGCCACUGGUGUUCCUGCGAAUAUCUACGAAUUUCACCUCUACACUCGCAAUUCCACUCGCCUCUUCUUUGCUCCAGGUCGCCAGUUUUGAAGGCAGUUCCGAGGUUGAGCCUCGGGAUUUCACCCCCAACUUAACGACCCGCCUACACGCGCUUUACGCCCAGUAAAUCCGAACAACGCUAGCCCCCUUCGUAUUACCGCGGCUGCUGGCAC
rnacentral:rRNA from 1 species